CAAACACACCAUUGUUGGGUGUGUCUGGUCGAACAAGAGGGAAGGGGGCGACCAGAGUGUUCCUCAAACCCUAGCUUCACUCUAAAAUCUGCAAAUUGAAGCCUAAAUCAAGUUCAAAUCUAAACACAAAUUAGUGAUCACCUCGUCAUAAGGAUCAAAAGGCAAAGAGUCCGGAUCAUCAAGCGGACAAGCCGACGAGAAUUCACGGGGAAAAGGCGUGCUCUAAAGUUUUCUGGAUUUCUAGUAGAAGGGUGAUGAUCAAGCAUAAGUAUCCGAACCGAACACUCAAACAAACGCUUCCGCACUUGAUCUUUUGUUUUUAAAACUAUGUAAACAAUUGUAGUUUCUGUUUUAUAUAUGGUUUCGUAGGAUUAACAUGUUGAUGUAUUGUCUAAUUAAACUUUCAAGUCUUGAAAGUUUUUGAAAACUCCAAAUUUGGUAUAAAAUGCAAGGUCUUAUGUAUUAAAUCUA